AUAUACAGAGAUAAAAACACAGUCCCGGUUGAUAGUCCGGGCAUAGCAUUUAUUGCUAUCAGUAACCUGCCUCCUUGGUUGUCCUUUCUUUGUUUAUAAUUA
rnacentral:ncRNA from 1 species